ACGUACACUCCUACGGGGGGCAGCAGUGGGGAAUUUUGGACAAUGGGCGAAAGCCUGAUCCAGCCAUGCCGCGUGCAGGAUGAGGGCCUUCGGGUUGUAAACUGCUUUUGUACGGAACGAAACGGCCUUUUCUAAUAAAGAGGGCUAAUGACGGUACCGUAAGAAUAAGCACCGGCUAACUACGUGCCAGCAGCCGCGGUAAUACGUAGGGUGCAAGCGUUAAUCGGAAUUACUGGGCGUAAAGCGUGCGCAGGCGGUUAUGUAAGACAGUUGUGAAAUCCCCGGGCUCAACCUGGGAACUGCAUCUGUGACUGCAUAGCUAGAGUACGGUAGAGGGGGAUGGAAUUCCGCGUGUAGCAGUGAAAUGCGUAGAUAUGCGGAGGAACACCGAUGGCGAAGGCAAUCCCCUGGACCUGUACUGACGCUCAUGCACGAAAGCGUGGGGAGCAAACAGGAUUAGAAACCCCGGUAGUCCC
rnacentral:rRNA from 1 species